CCUACGGGGGACAGCAGUGAGGAAUAUUGGUCAAUGGGCGCGAGCCUGAACCAGCCAAGUAGCGUGAAGGAUGACUGCCCUACGGGUUGUAAACUUCUUUUAUAAAGGAAUAAAGUGAGGCACGUGUGCCUUUUUGUAUGUACUUUAUGAAUAAGGAUCGGCUAACUCCGUGCCAGCAGCCGCGGUAAUACGGAGGAUCCGAGCGUUAUCCGGAUUUAUUGGGUUUAGAGGGAGCGUAGAUGGGUUGUUAAGUCAGUUGUGAAAGUUUGCGGCUCAACCGUAAAAUUGCAAUUGAUACUGGCAGUCUUGAGUACAGUUGAGGUAGGCGGAAUUCGUGGUGUAGCGGUGAAAUGCGUAGAUAUCACGAAGAACACCGAUUGCGAAGGCAGCUUACUAAACUGCAACUGACAUUGAUGCUCGAAAGUGUGGGGAGCAAACAGGAUUAGAUACCCCUGUAGUC
rnacentral:rRNA from 1 species